UACAGAGGUCCCGAGCGUUGUUCGGAUUCACUGGGCGUAAAGGGUGCGCAGGUGGCUUGGCAAGUUUGAUGUGAAAGCUCAGGGCUUAACCCUGAAAUGGCAUUGAAUACUGUUGAGCUGGAGGUUUGGAGGGGGGACUGGAAUUCUUGGUGUAGCAGUGAAAUGCGUAGAUAUCAAGAGGAACACCAGUGGCGAAGGCGAGUCCCUGGACAACACCUGACACUGAGGCACGAAGGCCAGGGGAGCAAACGGG
rnacentral:rRNA from 1 species